GGCGUAGACAUGCGGUUGCCAUUUUCUUAUGAACUGAGCAAACUCCUUUUUAGUUAGAAUCUAGUCGAAGCUAAUUGCUUUCUUGCUAUGAGUUCUGUAGGAGAAGACAAUGAAGGACCAAUCCUAUUGACAAGAGACCACAAAGAGAAACGGAGAACGACGAGUGAUUUCAGGCCAGGAACUUCUUAAAGAAAAUUUACAUAAUAGUGAUGGCAAAUGUUUUCUGGUAAUGCCUUGUGCAACCUGCACCCUUGUCUACAUAGAGGGCGACCGCUGAAGCAUGUAUCAAGAAAUCAAACUCAUUUUCUCAACUGAAGAAGGCAAAAACGACUUUUUAUCGUAUUGUAUCGAAAGGAAGAUGCUGCACGAAGAGAUCUGUUCGAUCGCCAAAACAUCGACCUCUUGUGGGAUCCUGGACCACAAAAGAUACUUGAGCAGUUUGCCAAUAUGGAUCAUCUCAUCAGCUUGAAAGAACGCUAAACAGACAACAAUAGAAUGCGAUUCGCAAGUUUUUGGGAUACGAAGUAAAGCCAUUGGUAACAUAGUUGUAUUUCUAUCUGAAUGAAUAAAUGAUUAUAUUCUGUUG